rnacentral:rRNA from 1 species
GAUGAACGCUAGCGGCAGGCUUAAUACAUGCAAGUCGAGGGGUAGCAAGAUUGUAGCAAUACAAUUGUUGACGACCGGCAAACGGGUGCGGAACACGUACACAACCUUCCUACAAGUGGGGAAUAGCACAGAGAAAUUUGGAUUAAUACCCCGUAACAUAGCGAUGUGGCAUCACAUUGCUAUUAUAGCUUCGGCGCUUGUUGAUGGGUGUGCGGCUGAUUAGAUAGUUGGCGGGGUAACGGCCCACCAAGUCUACGAUCAGUAGCUGAUGUGAGAGCAUGAUCAGCCACACGGGCAAUGAGACACGGGCCCGACUCCUACGGGAGGCAGCAGUAAGGAAUAUUGGACAAUGGACGCAAGUCUGAUCCAGCCAUGCCGCGUGAAGGAUUAAGGUCCUCUGGAUUGUAAACUUCUUUUAUAAGGGACGAAAAAAGGUCUUUCUAGAUCGUCUGACGGUACCUUAUGAAUAAGCACCGGCUAACUCCGUGCCAGCCGCCGCGGUAACAC